rnacentral:lncRNA from 1 species
CUCCCUAGAUCACUGCAGCCCAAAGGCUUGGGCCUCCAAUAAUGUAUCAAAAAUAAAAGUAUCUAUGUGAACGUACCUAUGGAUGUGAAGGUGAGGUUGAAUUCUUGCUGGCCUGGUGAUGAAAAAGGGUAUUGCCAUUGGUGCUGAUUUGGCAGUGCAGACAUCUGUGUGGGAGGCAGGAUGGACCAGCCCCUUCCUGGGCUGUUUCCCAUUGGAGAGAUUAAAUAGGUGGUGAGAAGGGGACACGAAAUAUCAUCACAGAAACCUUGAAGGCCAGUAUACCCAGGACAAAUCACACCUUAGAUUCAGAGUUGCACUUAGUCACUGUUGGAAAAUUAGCUACUUUUUUUGCUCACUAGCCCACACGUUUGUGACAGACUAGUUCAGCAUCCUUUUGAGGAAAGUCUGAUGGUGGCUAUCACUGCCUUCAAGGGGUAUUGAAGGGCUGAGGUCACACAGGGAAUUUCCAUGCUUUGGCAGUGGAAGUUAUGCCUUUUGUCCUAAUUGUGGCAAUUGUAAAUGAUUUCUCUGGUAAAUCACAGCAAUGACUAUGUGGGAAAGGUUGUAUGCUCAGUUAAAAUGUUGGCAGAAGAGCAAAAUUUGUUUGCUGUUAAGCCCAGUGAUAUCUAGAUUCAUAAGAAACAAGAAAUAAUGGUGUAGGCUUUAUGCAGGGCAAUCCUGCAGCUCUUGAGCUGGGACUCUCCCUGCCUAACAUGUUUCCCAAGAGCAGGAUACCCAGCUGAAGCCAUUCAUCUCAAUUCUCUCUGUGACUCCAGAGUGUUCAGCACCUCACUUAUCUGACAUACCAUCAGCAGAGAUGAACAACAGUUGCUUCAUUGCCAUCUGCUUGACUGACUGCUGUUUCCAAAAAUGAUGAUCAGUGCUACUAGAAUUCCUUCCCCUGGUCUGCUCCCCCAAAUGUUCCUGCCUCCCCACACCAAGAUAUCUGCCUUCUCAGAGUGCAGCUAUCCCUGUGAAACUGUAUGCUGAAAGGACUUCCUAUGAACUGUACAAGGAAGAAUAAUGUGCUCACCAGUUACAUAGCUGGUAAUUUAUCCACUGGAAGGGAGAGGUCUCCAGGAGCCAAAGAAAUCAGCUCCACAGACACCUGACCUAGGGACUAUUGCAGGACUGUCUCCAGUGGCAAUGUGCUCUUACAAUGGGAUGAAGAGGAAUAAGUGACACUACCAUACGGCAUUCAAAUGAGUGCACUUCAGAGCAAGGUCCCUUCAACAGCAGCACCGGAGAGAAGAAACCAGGUUUUUUGUUUGUUGGGGGCUGUGGGAGAUAGCAAAGCAUUCGCUUGAGGCUCUUGACACUUGCUCAAGAAGGGGAAAUAAGGCACAGAGACAUUUUUUUUGGCCUGCUCCAGGUGCUUCCAGCCAAGCCGAGAACAAAUCCUGGGACCCUAGUAUCAUGUCUAGCUUCUGGAAAACAGCAACUCUUUUUCUGAUC